rnacentral:lncRNA from 1 species
UCUAUGUAUAUGCACACAUUCCUAAAUAUCCACACGCCUAUCUAUCUAACCGGCAGUUCUAUUUUCAUUUAAGAGAAUGGAUCUUAGAAUGCAUUUCAUUCUGCAACUUCAAGGCUUACUGUUCUGAGGCCAAGCAUACAAAUGUGCAAAGCACUGGGGGACCGCAGAGGCCGUGUGGCUGGUGGAAGAAUGAGAUGGGCCUGGUGGUGGAGGGGACUGCGGAAUUUGCGCAGCAAUCCUGAAAGGACUGUGCUGCGCUCUCAUCUGGCCACGCCCCCACCCCACCCCAGUGGUCUCGAACUUGCCUGUCCAGUCCCUUCAGCAUCAGGAACCAGGGUGUGGCUCCACUGA